CUGCUAAAAUAUAUGAAAAAUAUCCAUUUCUCGUCUUCUUUGGAGCGACCGAUGGAAAUUUCACUGAGAAAUACAGCAUCGUGAUAACGUACAUGUUUAUGACAAAUGACCGGUGUGACUGCGGAUAGUUUCGUGUAGAUCCGCCGACUUCAACAUGUUUCAAAUGAAAUACAAGUAUAACAGUGUAUCUUCAGAGGAUUUCGGAUUGCUCAAUUUCUCAUGAAAGAAGGUGCAGCACUCGGAAUCUGGAUGAUAUGCACACGAUUUGAGGAUCUAGUACUGCUAAAAGCUUAAGGAUGCUGAAGUUAAUGAAUGUAGCAACCAUUUCUGAAUGUACCUUCUAUCACCACACCAGCUCUUAUCGUAAUGCAGUUGUUAUACAGCAGUGGAAAGAGCAUCAGCAAGAUCUGAUUAAUGAAUUCCUUGAGAAAAACAAUGAGUUAAUACUGGCAGGUGAUGGGUGCUGCUACUCCCCAGGGUACUCUGCCAAGUUUGGCUCCUUCACAUUGAUUGGAAAGAGGGUCAACAGAGUGGUAGAUUUUCAGCUGGUUCAGAGUAAUGAGGUUAGAAAUAGUGCCUGGAUGGAGCAUGAAGGGUUGGUGAGGGCUGUAAAAGUAAUUACAGUUCAGGACUGAGUAUUGCUGAAUCAAUCACAGACAGGCACAAACAGAACACCGUCUGGAUUAAACAAAAUCUGCCAAAUACAACCCAUUACUUUGACAUGUGGCAUGUAUCGAAAGGUACUUGUACCAUGUGUUCUCAUUAAUUAUGCAUCUCAACAAAAACAGGAUGUGGUCCCUUGCCAAUAAGUUUUUGAAAGAGCUUGCAGUUAA